UACAAACCAAAGGCGUCACAUUUUGGCAAAAGUGGCUAGCCUAUUUCACUGGCUAGCUACGCUUGCUGGAUGUAACCAAUUGUACUGUCUUUUACAAUUGCCCCCAGCCGACCUCUCCUAAUAUUUGGUAAUUGGAUCAAAUUGGAAUAAAACAUAUGGUAUGCAGCUAAUAGUUAUACUAGCAUCUAGUUUGUAAUUCACUGAUCACAACCACCUGUUACUUGUGUUCCUGUCAACACGCACCAAUUCAUUGUGCAGUCAAAAUCUUGCGCAAAACUUGAAAGUUACACAUUUGCCAAAACGACUUUUGUCUAUAACUUUUGACAGAGACUGAGUCACAAGUUUAACAUUUUGAAAGCAGCUUCGGCCCACCACCUAACACAACGUCUGCAAGUUCCAUCGCAUUAAGUUGGACACGAUCUGAGAAAUUAAGCGUGUAACUGUCCCCGCGUUAUAAUUGUACCCCGUACACUAAAGGUUCAAACAUGAAUGCCAACCGAUAAGCAAAAUAUGACAGAGUAUGCUAUGCUAUAUGUUUCCUGUUUAAAUAUUCUGAAUUGAAUUCACACUUCGCUCAACACAAAACUCACAUUCCGGAUUUGACAGAAACUUUAGUUGUCCAUCUGUUGGCUUUAUAAGAGACACACUUGCAUCUGUGAUAUUGAACUGGGUUUAUUUUUCUUUCUACAUUUUGCCACAUUCGUGUAAACAUGUUGCACUCGAUAAUGCUCCACCUGUCUUGUUAGGCUGUAAGCUAUUCCACACUCGUGACCUAUCUGACAUCAUUCUGCUUCAUUUAGAUAGAAAAGCAACUCAGAUCAUAACUCAGUAUAAAUCAUCUUAUCCGAAGUAUAGAAAUAUUUUUUUUACUCAGCUAUUUUAGCCCAAAUAAGGCACAACCGAGCAACAGAGAAUUCAGUUAUUUAAGGCUUUUUUUCUGAGGUCCUACUUGGACUCUGCCUCCAGUGGCCACCAGGCGAAUUGCAGUCCUACUGCAAACCACUACUACAGACAUGGGUUUCAAUCAUACAUCAUUAACUCCACCAGCACACAGAUUCCUUCUUACAGUUUACCCUUCUGGAUUUUCUUUAUAAACUUGUACAAACACACCCUUUUUCUGAAGUGAUAUUUAAGCCACACCCAGCACCGCCCAUUUUCAAGGAAGGUUUACAGCCAGCACCAUCUUUGGUCAUCCGUACCAAUUCAAAUGAGCUGUAAAAGAAACAUUCAGGUGAUUGUAACUGCAGAUGAACAUGACUCCUGCACACAAGUCCCACUUUCACCUCUGCUUACAUGAAUCUGAUCCCAGUUCAGUCUCAGUCUACAGAUAGCUUUGUUCUGAGCGUUUGUGUGUGGCUGAGCCUGAAGGCAUCCUGGCUGUACAUUUCAGAGGCACCAUGAUGGGUCAGUGGUCAACUCUGACCUGAGAUAACAAACUCUAAAUGACUUGCUCAGAUCAUAAAAGCACCAUCAGUUCAUUCAGACAAGGUAUAGUUGUGUCACUUUAUAGGAAAAUACAAAUAUUUAUCCAUAAACUUUGACAAUGCAUCAUUUGCCUUUGCCUGCCUCACAUCUGUCUAAAUAGCCUUCAAGCAAAAAGAACAUUCAAUAAUAUUGCAGGAAAGCUUUAUUAAUAUUUACAUUCACAUAAUAUUCAUAAUAUCAUUACAUUAACUUAUACUAAAGUGUGAAUGUGUUGCAUUGUGUAAGAAGUUAACUGACAUGGCUUUUAGACAGUAAAGAUUUAAGAACAACACUGCCCUACAUGAUUGUGGUUACUGUUAGUCUUUAUGCUAAAUGCAAAGCUAGUCUUGUACAUAAGGUAAACCCAUGUUUGAGGAAGGAAUAAAAAAAAAAAGACAAAUUAUGAUAAAUAUGUGUAUCAUUCAUUUUGAUCUCUUUGCCAGUGAAUACUUUCAUAUUCUCAUUAAAUGGUUUUCCAUAAACUUGGUAGGUGAUCCUGCUGUGAAGUAUUGUGCUAUUUAUUUAUUGUUAGUCACGCUGCGCAUGUGAGUGAUUUUUAUUUUUUUAUCAACCGUGGUCAACAUAUUUGAGAUUGAAAAUAUCAGAUAAAUGUACACAGACAUAAAACUGAGACUAAUUCUUCCAUUGAAAACAUUCUCCACCUUUCUCUGUCCCAGCCCCUGAGUGUCCUCCAGAGUCAAAAACAAAAGACAUGAUUAGUGUAUUCACAUAAUGAACAGGCUGAUAACAUCUGUUAUGGUGGUAUGGCUCAUCUGUCUUCCUUAUUGUCAUUGAAAUUCUGCUCUCUCAUUAUCGAGGUCCAGGACUCCAGCACUUAAUCUAUUGCUUGGCGAAUGAAAACCGCCUGUGGACGACAUGUUGGCUGAGAGGAACAAUGAACAAUACGUGGAUAAUCAAAGCACCACUUUGAAGAACAUGAAUAUUUAGGAAGAUGCCUGUCAGAAUCAACAAAGAUCUUACCUUCCAGUGGAGGAGAUAGAUUCUUUUGCCCGUCUCAUUUUCAUUUCACGGUACCUCUUCUUCAAAUUACCUUUUUAUUGUUAUUCCGACGGAAGCGUUUUGAACUAUACCGCCGCCCUGCUGAAUUGUCAGCAAAUGCACAUUGUACUUUGUUAUGGGUAUCACAGAAUUCUCCUGUUGUGAAUCAACAACACAUAUACAUGAAAGACAAGAGCGCUAGCAAGUAGCAAAGUAGAAGUAGAAGGGAAAAAAAAUCAUUCAAUUUGAUGAUCUUCAUUUAUUGUUCUGCUUUAGAAGUGUAGAUGGUAGUGAAACCAUCUUAAGAUACACUUGUUCUUUUUUUUAGUCACGCUGCUCAUUGGCAGAGAAGAGCGCAGUAGUCAUUUGUGAUAUUGCUAUCUCACUCAAAUGGAUGUUGUCAGUCUCAUUCAUUUAAGUUACAAUUCAUUUACCCGACCACAUAAACACUCAUCUCUGCCUAUGCGAUAGGCUUUUAAAUCCAAAACACCCAUUCCACCAUGGAACACAACUUGAGAAGAUUACAUUCAGUGCAUCAGAGACCUGAAGCAGUGAGAUCAGGUUUCAGAAACAGAAAAAUAAUGAUGAGCACAAGGGAUAUGAUAUUGUCUUUGUUCUACCCAUUGCUAUGGCUACAACAUCAAUUUUGGUCAGUAUGUCUACUUUCUAAGAUUGUGUUGUGAUUGAAAACAAUACAUCUGUUGUAUGACUCCCAGAGAAGGAGAAAAUCGUAGUGUAGAAAACAUCAGAAGAAAAAUGAAAUCACUAUGCAAUCUUGUAACAGCAUCAAGAGAAUGAGCUCUCACAAAGUGAAAUGAUUAAGCACGUAAGCUAAUGAUUCCUCCCUCUCUCUCUCUCUCUCUUUGUGUUUGUAAUGAGGCACCCCAUGCAUACAUGACAAAAACAUGCUCCGUGUUUUCAUCUGUUCGGUGCAUUCCAAACCCCAGAUCUGUCCAACAGUGACAGACUCCAUGUCAUCCUUAUUUGAGACAGUGUCCUUGUUUCCUUGUCCACUUUCUGUCCCUCUCUCUAGAAUCUGCCACAUCUGUAAGUCUGCCUCUCUCUCUCUCUCUGCAUUGACCUCUCUAUCUAUCUCCCACAAUACACACGGAUGUACACACACACAUGCUCUUUCCCUCAUCUUCAAACUUCACUUCAUCUUCCCCCCUCUUUCUCUCUCCCUCUCUCUCUCCCUCUCCCUUCCUCCCUCCCUCUAAUCCUCUGCUCUUGUGAAGAGCAUUGGGCCAUGCAGCUGUGCUCCUCUGGCACUCAGAGAGGCGGCCACUCAACCCCCCACUCACCAGAGGGGUCCAGACCACCUGGCUCCAGGGGCAGCUGACUGGCCUAUUCAGCUGAAUGCACAGGCAGACCAGCGGCUCAUCCCUGGCCUGCCCCGGAGGUGGACGCGUGGAGUGCGAGGGGCCUGUGUGGAAGGUCAGCGGAGCCAGAGGAAAAGCCCACGUUUGUGGGAGCGCGAGGCGAGUGGAUGAGUGACCAUUUACACCCGAGUGGAACAUAGGGAGAGAUUCACGGGGAGUCAGCUGAUGCUACUGGCACUAUAUUUGUAUCGCAGGAAGGGAUGGGAAUUAUUUACUUCCUGCCAUUAUAGAAUAAAGGGAUCGAAGAGGGGAGAAAGAGUGACAGAAGUAAUAUGGCGUAUUUUUAACUAAAGGGGGACGGGAAUACCCAUGUGUUUGGAUUCACUCUGCUGAUUUCUGCUCCAGGUGUCCGUCAGAGAUUGCCUAGUAUGGUUAUUUAAUUAGUAUCUUUGACAAAAUUCCGUUUCUAUUUGGAAUUCUCAGAAUAUACUAUAAUUCAUGCAUCAGCCAUUUGUAUGUUAGUCUUAGGUUAGGUGGCUGUUUUUGAAUGCAUUUCAGAGCCAGUAUUAUUUUGUCACAGAUGUUAUGAGAUGUUUCAACAAGACAUGUCAUUUGAUUACUCUAUUGCCAUUGUUGAGUCUAAAAUGUUAUUUUACUUUUUAUUUUUUAAUUUUUUAUUAAUUGAAAUAGGUAAAACAAGAUAUUAUGUCUGCAUGACACACUGUAAAUCAAAUGAUUAUGUUCAAAGUAACUAGUACAGAAGAACUGAUGACUUACUUUAGAAAUGAUGUGUUGCACAUGCCAUGUUGUUGGGCAGGAUGGGCAGGAUGUUAUAUUUAUCAUUUAUGUUUCUGGCCCUCUGAUUCUCUCAGAAUAUCCUUUGUUUAAAGUGCCAUGGUGUGUUCAGUGGAAAGGCUUUUUUCACUCAAAUGACAACACAGCAAAUUAAUGUUUUGCUUUACACAUCUCUCAACAUUUUUGACACAACACAGAUCAUUUAUUUUUAAGAAUAACACAUUGUAACGUAACAUUUUAAAUAAAGGAAAUAUUUUGGGGAAAAAACCUCAACAGCUAAAACAAAUUAAACAUCUAAAUCGAUCCGUGUGAUCUAUUAUUUUUGGCAAGAAAUGGUUGAAAGCUUUGAUAUGUCAUGAUUGCAUACAUAUUUGAGCCUUGGGGUUGAAGGCUUCUGUUCUCCACGACCUGUGCCAUAAUCCUGAGGUCUGAGGAAGAGCACAGAAGACCUUUCAUCAGGACUCUCCAACUUCCUGUGCCCACAUCUCUGUGUGUUGUUCAACGGAAGUUCC
ensembl:lncRNA